rnacentral:lncRNA from 1 species
CCACUGUGUGUUCUGCUUGUCCCAGUAACUUUCAUCCUAUGGUCUCUGCAUGCUGUUAUUUUAGGUGUAUCCUUUACCAUUAUCUUCGGAGCGCUUGGCAGCUGCCCCAGCCCUGCCCGCACCUGGGAGGCUUCUGCGUUCACACACCUUCCAGCUGUGCGAGCUUUCAAACACCUUUGAAUGGGCAGAAGCGGGUCUGUCCCUGAAGGCAGCUUUCUUCGUUGGCCGUCCUGGUUAUCAUGUGGGAGACAAGAUCACCAUCAGAAUUCAGGUUGAAUGCUUCCUUGUGAUGGGGUAAGAGUUCGGGUUUCACCUGAUUAACAGCAUUAACUGGUGUAUUUUCCCCAUACAAUAUCAAGUGUUGCAGGUGUUCUUUUGUAUCAACCAUGAUGUGAAGAUCUCUGCGAGGAGAAGAUUACGGGACUUUGCAGUCUCACUGUAGAAGCAGGAUAAUUGUUUAGAGUUUGUUAUGACUCUGCUAAGUUGUUG